GAUGAACGCUGGCGGCGUGCCUAAUACAUGCAAGUCGAGCGAAUGGAUUAAGAGCUUGCUCUUAUGAAGUUAGCGGCGGACGGGUGAGUAACACGUGGGUAACCUGCCCAUAAGACUGGGAUAACUCCGGGAAACCGGGGCUAAUACCGGAUAACAUUUUGAACCGCAUGGUUCGAAAUUGAAAGGCGGCUUCGGCUGUCACUUAUGGAUGGACCCGCGUCGCAUUAGCUAGUUGGUGAGGUAACGGCUCACCAAGGCAACGAUGCGUAGCCGACCUGAGAGGGUGAUCGGCCACACUGGGACUGAGACACGGCCCAGACUCCUACGGGAGGCAGCAGUAGGGAAUCUUCCGCAAUGGACGAAAGUCUGACGGAGCAACGCCGCGUGAGUGAUGAAGGCUUUCGGGUCGUAAAACUCUGUUGUUAGGGAAGAACAAGUGCUAGUUGAAUAAGCUGGCACCUUGACGGUACCUAACCAGAAAGCCACGGCUAACUACGUGCC
rnacentral:rRNA from 1 species